rnacentral:rRNA from 1 species
AAUAUUGCACAAUGGAGGGAACUCUGAUGCAGCAACGCCUCGUGAGUGAAGAAGGCUUUCGGAUCGUAAAACUCUGUCAUUGGGGAAGAAUAAAUGACGGUACCCAAUGAGGAAGCCCCGGCUAACUACGUGCCAGCAGCCGCGGUAAUACGUAGGGGGCGAGCGUUGUCCGGAAUUACUGGGCGUAAAGGGUACGUAGGCGGCUAUAUAAGUCAGGUGUGAAAUACCAGUGCUUAACACUGGAAUUGCAUUUGAAACUGUGUAGCUUGAGUGCAGGGGAGGAAAGUGGAAUUCCUAGUGUAGCGGUGAAAUGCGUAGAGAUUAGGAGGAACACCAGUGGCGAAGGCGACUUUCUGGACUGUAACUGACGCUGAGGUACGAAAGCGUGGGUAGCGAACAGG